AAAAAAACAAAUUGUGGGUUUCCAUUUCAACGUUUGACUGUCCGUCUUAUAUGAUUUAUUUUAUAAUUAGUAUUUUUAUUGUUGUUAGAUGAUAAAACAUGAUUAAUAUUUUAUGCGUGGCUUGUCUUUUUAAUUUUUUUCAAAUAAGACGGACGGUCAAACGUUGGACACAAAAAUUAAGGUUUGUCUUUUUC
rfam:Oryza sativa (indica cultivar-group) chromosome 3, whole genome shotgun sequence.